rnacentral:rRNA from 1 species
GUCCACGCCGUAAACUAUGGAUGCUAGCUGUGAUGCGUAUCGACCCGCGUCGUAGCGAAGCUAACGCGUUAAGCAUCCCGCCUGGGGAGUACGGUCGCAAGAUUAAAACUCAAAGGAAUUGACGGGGACCCGCACAAGCGGUGGAGCGUGUUGUUUAAUUCGAUGGUAAGCGAAGAACCUUACCAAGGUUUGACAUCUCUGGAAUCUCUUCGAAAGAAGAAAGUGCCUUCGGGAACCAGAUGACAGGUGUUGCAUGGCCGUCGU